AUGAUCUGGCAUGUACAGAAUGAAAACUUCAUUCUCGAUUCUACGAGAAUUUUUAUGAAAGCGUUUCAUUUGCUUCUCUUCAAUGGAAGUUUCAUUUUCCCAGAAUGUAUCCUAAUUUUUGGCCUAAUUCUUCUUCUGAUGAUUGAUUCAACCUCUGAUCAAAAAGAUAGACCUUGGUUCUAUUUCAUCUCUUCAACAAGUUUAGUAAUAAGCAUAACGGCCCUACUUCAGAUCAAAGAGUCGGGCGGAAAAAGGGGAGAGCUCCCCGUUCCUGGUUCUCCUGUAACUGGAUUCCCCGGAACCACAAGAAUCCUUAGAAUGGGAUUCCAACUCAGCACCUUUUGUUUUGAGAUUUUGAGAAGAGUUGCUCUUUGGAGAGCACAGUACGAUGAAAGUUGUAAGCUGUGUUCGGGGGGGAGUUAUUGUCUAUCGUUGGCCUCUAUGGUCAGGCACUGGCGAUGA
rnacentral:rRNA from 1 species